UAAUAUUACGUAAAUCGAUGCCAUACAAACUAUUGUCACCCGCACUCCUCAUGGUUCAUUCAUCUAAACCCAUCUCUUUCCUCUCGAUUUUUCUCCCCCAAAAACAAAAUAUUUUUCUAAUAUUUCAAUCAAGUCCCUUCUCACAAACACUAACUUUUCAUUUCUAACCUCAUCGCAGACCAAACGGUGUAGAAGCAGAGAAAAGAAGUGGGAAUUUUUUUUUCUCAAUCUGACUGUUAAUAGUUAAAUAGUGCUUAAAUAAUUUAAAAUGGCUGGGAGAAACCGCAUUCCUCACGAAGCCUUCAAUGACCGGCAUGGAUUCCCUCCUAAAAGACCUUUCUUUCGUGGUCCUCCUCUGCCACGGCCACCUCCUCAUCCUGUGUUGUUGGAGGAGGAACUUCAAAUGCAGCAUGCAGAAAUUCGGAGGUUUUUGACUGAAAACUGCAGGCUUGUGGAAGAUCGGAUGGCUAUACAACAAGAGCUUGGUGCUGCGAAGGAGGAAAUUCAUCGUUUGGAUAUUUUCCUUGGUGAAAUUCGUGCAGAACAAGAACUGCAGUCAAGGGGACUUAUUGAGAAAGGCUUGAAACUGGAGGCAGAUCUCCGUGAGACUGAGCCAUUGAAAAAAGAGGCUGUCCAACUCCGUACAGAAGUUCAGAAACUGAAUAAUGUUAAGAAGGAGCUAACUGGCCAACUUCAGACUCUCAAGCAAGGUUUUGCCAGGUUGCGAGCUGAAAAUCAGCAUAUACCUAUUCUAAGAGCAGAAAUUGAUGGCCUGCACCAGGAAUUGAUGCAUGCGAGGACUACUAUUGAUUAUGAAAAGAAGGCAAAUAUUGAGCUGAUGGAACAGAGACAAGCAAUGGAGAAGAACAUGGUCUCCAUGGCAUGUGAAGUUGAAAAGCUACGUGCAGAACUUGCCAGUGUGGAUGGUAGACUGUGGGCUGCUGGUGGACCAUAUGGGAUGGAAUUCAACAUUUCAGAGGGGACUUUUCCUGCUCUAUAUGAAGGAUAUGGGGCUUAUCUGGGUGUUGCUGACAAGGGUCCUUUUUAUGGUCCUCGUCCUGCUUCUUGGGAGAAGCUUCACAUGACUCAUCGCUAGGAGAGUUACUGCUUGAUGUAAGAAAGGCGACAUUGUUGCUUCACUUUUGAAGUGCAAAAUAUUGAUCAGCAUGGAGUUCAAUCAUCCAUGUGUGCAUGCCACAUGGGAAGCUGGCAUGACUCGUGCAAAAGGUAAAGAAAGAAGAUUAGGUGUAUCUUACGUGAGAUUGAGGAAAUAUGAAUGAUGUAAAGUUACAAGUGCUUCCAGACAAACUUGGAAGAAAAUGAAAAAGAGAACUUUCUGUCUGCGUAUCUGUGAGUUCAUUGGUAUAUAUGCAUUUCUGUCUUAAAUGAGAUGCAUCGAACUUUGUUGUAUGAUUUUAUUUAUUUUUGGGGGCUAUGCAGAGAGGGUUCAAGUCAUUAGGCUGCACAAUGACAGCCACCACUUUCUUUUCUGUAGGCAAAUGACCUCCAUCCCCAUUCUAUUUUUGGAACUCCUGCAAUCUCUAAUGAUGGCAGGAUUUUGUCGCAACUCCUUAGAAUGACCAACCAAGGUCGUUGUCAUAGCUUGUUUCACAGUCAGCAUUGCCAUAAAUGUUUUACACUCAGAGCCAUCUCUGGCUAGAUGGAAUGUCCAACUAGCCUAGAACAUGCUAACAUGUCCUAACUUUUUUUUUUUUAAUUGGAUGUUCAUCUGUGGUGAUAGUUCUGAAAAUUGUUUUUUUUCUAGGUUACAACAUUUACUAGCUUCUAAAAAAGCUUUGCUCGCCACUGGUUACUAGCAAGCAACAAGCACAAGAUAGUAUGCCUGCACUAACUAAUUGUACUUUUUUAUAUUCUGGAAUGACUGUUUGUGUGAAUGUAGGUUAUAGCUAUUAUGAUUUUUUUCCUUUGUUCAAGUGUGUAACAGAUAUGGUCUCUUGCUCCAUGAUUAGCAACGGAAGUAGUGAACUGCAUUUUGUCGUGCAUAAUCCUUCUGUCAAAUUCCGAUGCUACAGCCUGGUUGGUUGAUUUUAUUUAGAUCCUCUAAUUCUUGCUACUUUGAUUACUGAAGCUGAUGUAAUGCUGUAACACUUUAGACCGUGUUCCCCUUAGCUCUCUGUAAUAUCGAGAGAUGCUCUUGCAAACAAUAGCUAUGAAUCUUGCUUGUUAUGGGAUUUUUUUUAUUUUCUUUCUUUUCCCUUAAUCCCUAUAUUUAUAGUUUUGCUUUCCUAGCUUGUUUAUUCAGUGUUUUAGUGGGAAAAAAAAACUGAUUUAUUCCCCUUUUUGAACUUUUGAUGUCUUGGUUAGGGGUUCAAAUAAAUAAUAAAAAAGGAUUUUAAUAAAAUAGAAUAUUGAAAUGAAAUUGAAGGUUUGGAGUAAAAACGUUAUGGCAUGAAGAAACCUAGCAAAGACCCUGAGAAUUUGUUUUCAUCCAUGUUUAGUGACAAAACCAUCCGGUUUGAAAUCAUCGCAACAAAUUGAGGUACUUCUCCCCGCUCGAUAAAUCCCUUCUGUCUCAAAUUAUGCAACCUAAAUGAGACUGCAUGAAACCCAGGGGGAGAGACAGGGAAAUGUUGUUUAACAUGUCUCAAACCUGAUUGUACGAACAAGACAACUGAAAAUCAGGUGCUUGCUCCAUGUACACGAUUCCUUCAUUGGUAUAAAUUUGCCACAUUUGGUCACCUCGUGAACGCAUCUUGUGUACACAUUCCACAUUCUGUGGCUCCUGGAAUAUGUCAAUAGCUAGUCUAGUGCGCCUGUACCAUUGCGACGUUCGAUAGGUAUGGAUAUUCUGAUGGCAGCCGGAAGCAUCCUAUUUGCGAUUUCUGUGUCUCGUCGCCCGUCCAUGGAUCUUUGGUUUACGUUGGCAGAUCCUAUUAGAGUGUACAAAUCAUCUGCUGAAAGUAGCAGCAAUAAACGUGGUUGAAAAUGCCUGAAGCAAAGGGCUGGCGUAUGGGAUUUUGUAUGGAGCUGGUAGGCAGCAAGAAACAAGGAUCACAUUGCUUAGUCCAUCUUUGCUCAAAAUUAGCAAGCACAUCCCAAGCAGCUUCCCCUGUUAUACAGGCAUGAGCAUCAUGCCAUGGUUCCCUUUGUCCUCCUUUGUGGAGCCUGGCUCCAGAUAAUAUUUGUUUGAUAGAAAUCAAAACAAUGAGAUUCCGUAUUACGUGUAUGAAACAAGGAAUGUUGUUUUGUAUCAUACCGACCAUCACAAAAAGAUCUGAUCCACCAACAAAGCUCAUGAUUUCUCUAUCGUUUACAGAAGAAAUAUAUACUUUACUGUCAACAGUUCUAGUCUUACAAUGGUGAGCAAAGAGUGUUGGAAACUUUUGGUGCAAUCUUGGGGAUAGCUUGGAUUAAAGU